GCCUCGAUAGAUCAGUCGGCAGACCGCGUGUUCUAUAAGCCCGUGGGCGUGGGUUCGAACCCUGCCCAAGGUG
rnacentral:tRNA from 1 species